GUUAUACUGUCAUGAAAGUGGACAAGUAUCUCAUUCUGGUAUUCAGGAGGAACAUAUAGACGUCCUUCUGGAACAACUCUAGGCGUCUAAGUCUGUUUAGUAACAAUAUCCAUCACCAGAGGAAACUGUAUCUUGAUACUAGUGUUAGCUAUAAUAUUCUGUUUGGGUACCAAAGAAGACACAUCACACGUGAAAUUGACAAGAGGUUCAUAUUGACAAGAUAACACAUCGGCCUUUGAACCUG